GAUGUCAACUAGCUGUUGGGGCCUUCGGGCCUUAGUAGCGCAGCUAACGCGUGAAGUUGACCGCCUGGGGAGUACGGUCGCAAGAUUAAAACUCAAAGGAAUUGACGGGGACCCGCACAAGCGGUGGAUGAUGUGGAUUAAUUCGAUGCAACGCGAAAAACCUUACCUACCCUUGACAUGUCUGGAAUCCCGAAGAGAUUUGGGAGUGCUCGCAAGAGAACCGGAACACAGGUGCUGCAUGGCUGUCGUCAGCUCGUGUCGUGAGAUGUUGGGUUAAGUCCCGCAACGAGCGCAACCCUUGUCAUUAGUUGCUACGAAAGGGCACUCUAAUGAGACUGCCGGUGACAAACCGGAGGAAGGUGGGGAUGACGUCAAGUCCUCAUGGCCCUUAUGGGUAGGGCUUCACACGUCAUACAAUGGUCGGGACAGAGGGUUGCCAACCCGCGAGGGGGAGCCAAUCCCAGAAACCCGAUCGUAGUCCGGAUUGCAGUCUGCAACUCGACUGCAUGAAGUCGGAAUCGCUAGUAAUCGCGGAUCAGCAGCGCGGAGCA
rnacentral:rRNA from 1 species